AAUCAACGCUGGCGGCGUGCCUAACACAUGCAAGUCGCACGAGAAAGGGACUUCGGUCCUGAGUACAGUGGCGCACGGGUGAGUAACACGUGAAUAAUCUACCUCCGAGUGGGGAAUAACUGAGAGAAAUCUUAGCUAAUACCGCAUAACACUUACGAGUCAAAGCAGCAAUGCGCUUGGAGAGGAGUUCGCGGCAGAUUAGUUAGUUGGCAGGGUAAUGGCCUACCAAGACGAUGAUCUGUAUCCGGCCUGAGAGGGCGCACGGACACACUGGAACUGAAACACGGUCCAGACUCCUACGGGAGGCAGCAGGUGGGGAAUUUUGCGC
rnacentral:rRNA from 1 species